rnacentral:rRNA from 1 species
AGUCGCAAGACCGCGAGGUUUAGCAAAUCUCUUAAAGCCGUUCUCAGUUCGGAUUGUAGGCUGCAACUCGCCUACAUGAAGUCGGAAUCGCUAGUAAUCGCGGAUCAGCAUGCCGCGGUGAAUACGUUCCCGGGUCUUGUACACACCGCCCGUCACACCAUGGGAGUCGGAAAUGCCCGAAGUCAGUGGCCCAACCGCAAGGAGGGAGCUGCCGAAGGUGGGACCGAUAACUGGGUGAAGUCGUAACAAGGUAUC